rnacentral:rRNA from 1 species
UACGAGUGCCUCGAGCGUUAUCCGGAAUCAUUGGGCGUAAAGGGUGUGUAGGCGGUUCUGUUAGUCUCCCGUAAAAUUUCCCGGCUCAACCGGGAGCGCGCGGGGGAAACGGCAGAGCUUAGAGGACGGGAGAGGUCUCUGGAACUCAUGGUGUAGCGGUGAAAUGCGUUGAUAUCAUGGGGAACACCAAAAGCGAAGGCAAGAGACUGGCCCGCUCCUGACGCUGAAACACGAAAGCGUGGGUCGCGAAUGGG